rnacentral:rRNA from 1 species
GAUGAACGCUGGCGGCGUGCCUAAUAUAUGCAAGUCGAGCGAACAGAUAAGGAGCUUGCUCCUUUGACGUUAGCGGCGGACGGGUGAGUAACACGUGGGUAACCUACCUAUAAGACUGGGAUAACUUCGGGAAACCGGAGCUAAUACCGGAUAACAUUUGGAACCGCAUGGUUCUAAAGUGAAAGAUGGUUUUGCUAUCACUUAUAGAUGGACCCGCGCCGUAUUAGCUAGUUGGUAAGGUAACGGCUUACCAAGGCGACGAUACGUAGCCGACCUGAGAGGGUGAUCGGCCACACUGGUACUGAGACACGGUCCAGACUCCUACGGGAGGCAGCAGUAGGGAAUCUUCCGCAAUGGGCGAAAGCCUGACGGAGCAACGCCGCGUGAGUGAUGAAGGGUUUCGGCUCGUAAAACUCUGUUAUUAGGGAAGAACAAACGUGUAAGUAACUGUGCACGUCUUGACGGUACCUAAUCAGAAAGCCACGGCUAACUACGUG